rnacentral:rRNA from 1 species
UACGGAGGGGGCUAGCGUUGUCCGGAAUUAUUGGGCGUAAAGAGCUCGUAGGCGGUCUGUCGCGUCUGCUGUGAAAACUCGGGGCUUAACCCCGGGCCUGCAGUGGGUACGGGCAGACUAGAGUGCGGUAGGGGAGACUGGAAUUCCUGGUGUAGCGGUGAAAUGCGCAGAUAUCAGGAGGAACACCGGUGGCGAAGGCGGGUCUCUGGGCCGUAACUGACGCUGAGGAGCGAAAGCGUGGGGAGCGAACAGG